CACAGUUCCUUGUUAUUACUAAUGUAACACUCAUAGUAAUAACCGUCUUCUUCAUUUACACGGCACUAUUAGCCAAGCCUCCCAACCCGUCAGGGAGGGAAUUGGGUCUUUUCAUUAGGAGGCUAACAAACUGAAGGCAUGACAGGACACAGCGCAAUGACUAGAGUAUCACCAGCCUGGGAAGUGAAUAGGCAACCUGCUUUGGUGGAUUGAGGGACACAGCCACUGCUCUGGCAGGUAUUACAACUGGGGACACGACAUGCGGAGUGAUGCUACUCUUCCAACUUGGGAAACCACAGG